GCAGUCGAGCGGACGUUUUGUUGGUGCUUGCACCGACUUAACGUUAGCGGCGGACGGGUGAGUAACACGUGGGCAACCUGCCCUGUAGUCUGGGAUAACUCCGGGAAACCGGGGCUAAUACCGGAUGAUACUUUUUGAUUCAUGUCAGAAAGUUGAAAGAUGGUUUAGGCUAUCGCUACAGGAUGGGCCCGCGGCGCAUUACCUAGUUGGGGAGGUAACGGCUCACCAAGGCAACGAUGCGUACCCAACCUGAAAGGGUGAUCGGCCACCCUGGGACUGAAACACGGCCCAAACUCCUACGGGAGGCAGCAGUAGGGAAUCUUCCACAAGGGACAAAAGUCUGAUGGACCACCGCCGCGUGAGUGAAAAAGGAUUUCGGUUCGUAAAACUCUGUUGUAAGGAAAAAACAAGUACAGUAUUAACUGGCUGUACCUUGACGGUACCUUAUUAAAAAGCCACGGCUAACUACUUGCCACCAGCCGCGGUAAUACGUAGGUGGCAAGCGUUGUCCGGAAUUAUUGGGCGUAAAGCGCGCGCAGGCGGUCCUUUAAGUCUGAUGUGAAAGCCCACGGCUCACCCGUGAAGGGUCAUGGGAAACUGGGGAACUUGAUUGCAAAAAAGGAAAGUGAAAUUCCAAGUGUACCGGUGAAAUGCGUAAAGAUUUGGAGAAACACCAGUGGCGAAGGCGACUUUCUGGUCUGUAACUGACG
rnacentral:rRNA from 1 species